rnacentral:rRNA from 1 species
GAUGAACGCUAGCGGCAGGCUUAACACAUGCAAGUCGAGGGGCAGCAUGACACGGAGAUUCGUCGAAGUGUUGAUGGCGACCGGCGCAACGGGUGCGUAACGCGUGAGCAACUUGCCCGUUUCUGGGGGAAUAACCGGUGGAAACGCCGACUAAUACCCCAUAGCAUAACGAAGAGGCAUCUUUUGUAUUAAAGAAUUUCGGAAACGGAUAGGCUCGCGUGACAUUAGCUGGAUGGCGGGGUAACGGCCCACCAUGGCUACGAUGUCUAGGGGUUCUGAGAGGAAGGUCCCCCANACUGGAACUGAGACACGGUCC